UUCCCCCACAGAAACAAAUAGCAAAAGCAGUAACAUUUUGGAAGAUGCGAUGAUGAGAAGACCUCUUGCCCAUGGAAUAAACUUGUAAAGAGAAGCUGAUGACUUCCAGUUUAUUGGUGUUUUCACCAAAAAAGGGGCCUUGUCGAGGAAAAGAGAACAUUAAAUGAAGGUCUAAUAACAGAAUGCAUCCCUGGGGU